CAACAAGCAAAUGAGCUGCCCUGCAAUGGCUCAACUGCUUCCAACACCCUUUACUACAGGCGUUUCUUCCCUUAUUAUUCGUUUAAUGUUUUGGGGGGCCUUGAUGACGAAGGUAUUCUAUUUUGAGCUUUCAUCACUGGUUUGAGCUUUGCUUUAUAUAUGAUAUUCUUCAUCCAAACCUCUAGGAAAGGGUUGUGUUUUCACAUAUGAUGCUGUUGGUUCCUAUGAGAGGGUUGGAUAUGGCACCCAGGGUACUGGUUCUACACUUAUCAUGCCUUUUUUGGAUAACCAACUGAAGUCUCCCAGCCCUCUCUUGUUGCCUGCCCAGGAUGCCGUUACUCAACUUUCUGAAUCUGAAGCAGUUGAUUUAGUCAGAACUGUUUAUGCCUCAGCAACUGAGAGGGAUAUAUACACUGUUUGCUCUGGAUUCCUGGGAUCUGGGCCUUCAGAUGUUGCCUUCCCUUGAUAGCCUCAUCUUCUCUAGAACUUUGGCUUGGGAGCUUAUUGCAGUCAUACUAACAAUUUUGGUCUUAGAUUCCUAGAAGGGAGUCGCUUUAAAUUGUCAUCCUCAAUGCUGACAGUAUCCGUAGGGAAUACAUGGAUCUUAGGACAGAUUGAUGGUAAUGGAAAAACCAUGAAACUUGAUCUAGUGGAGUACUGACAUGUAACCUUGUGGUUUUACUAAGAAUAUGUAGAGUUUUUUUCUUGUAUGUAGACUAGGUGAUACUUUUGAUUACGAAAUCAACUGUACCUGAAGACUCUGAUGCCUUUGGCCAAAAUAUCUCAAUGGACAAAGAAUGUAUACUUUCACUUUUAUA